UACAGAGGGUGCGAGCGUUAAUCGGAGUUACUGGGCGUAAAGGGCGCGUAGGCGGUUAUGUGAGUGUGAUGUGAAAGCCCCGGGCUUAGCCUGGGAAGUGCAUCGCAAACGACAUAACUGGAGUAUAUGAGAGGGUAGCGGAAUUUCCGGUGUAGCGGUGAAAUGCGUAGAUAUCGGAAGGAACGUCAAUGGCGAAGGCAGCUACCUGGCAUAAUACUGACGCUGAGGCGCGAAAGCGUGGGGAUCGAAC
rnacentral:rRNA from 1 species